rnacentral:rRNA from 1 species
GACAGAGGUGCCGAGCGUUAGGCGGAAUCACUGGGCUUAAAGCGUGUGUAGGCGGCCCGUUAAGUGUCUUGUGAAAUCCCCCGGCUCAACCGGGGAACUGCUGGGCAUACUGGCGGGCUUGGGUCGCUCAGGGGCAGACGGAACAGGCGGUGGAGCGGUGAAAUGCGUAGAGUAUCGCCUGGAACGCCGAAGGUGAAAACAGUCUGCUGGGGCGCACCGACGCUGAGACGACGAAGCCAGGGAGCGAACGGGA